UACGGAGGGUGCAAGCGUUAAUCGGAAUUACUGGGCGUAAAGCGUGCGCAGGCGGUUUGUUAAGUCUGCUGUGAAAUCCCCGAGCUCAACUUGGGAAUUGCAGUGGAUACUGGCAAGCUGGAGUACGGUAGAGGAAGGUGGAAUUCCCGGUGUAGCAGUGAAAUGCGUAGAGAUCGGGAGGAACACCGGUGGCGAAGGCGGCGAUCUGGGUAGAUACUGACGCUGAGGUGCGAAAGCGUGGGGAGCAAACAGG
rnacentral:rRNA from 1 species